UACGUAUGGUGCAAGCGUUAUCCGGAUUUAUUGGGCGUAAAGGGAACGCAGGCGGUCUUUUAAGUCUGAUGUGAAAGCCUUCGGCUUAACCGGAGUAGUGCAUUGGAAACUGGGAGACUUGAGUGCAGAAGAGGAGAGUGGAACUCCAUGUGUAGCGGUGAAAUGCGUAGAUAUAUGGAAGAACACCAGUGGCGAAAGCGGCUCUCUGGUCUGUAACUGACGCUGAGGUUCGAAAGCGUGGGUAGCAAACAGG
rnacentral:rRNA from 1 species